rnacentral:rRNA from 1 species
UACGGAGGAUGCAAGCGUUAUCCGGAAUGAUUGGGCGUAAAGCGUCCGCAGGUGGCUGUGUAAGUCUGCUGUUAAAGAGUGAGGCUCAACCUCAUAAAAGCAGUGGAAACUACACGGCUAGAGUGCGUUCGGGGCAGAGGGAAUUCCUGGUGUAGCGGUGAAAUGCGUAGAUAUCAGGAAGAACACCGGUGGCGAAAGCGCUCUGCUAGGCCGCAACUGACACUGAGGGACGAAAGCUAGGGGAGCAAACAGG